rnacentral:rRNA from 1 species
UACAGAGGUCCCAAGCGUUGUUCGGAUUCAUUGGGCGUAAAGGGUGUGUAGGUGGCGUCGUAAGUCGGGUGUGAAAUCUCGGGGCUUAACUCCGAAACUGCAUUCGAUACUGCGGUGCUUGAGGACUGGAGAGGAGACUGGAAUUUACGGUGUAGCAGUGAAAUGCGUAGAGAUCGUAAGGAAGACCAGUGGCGAAGGCGGGUCUCUGGACAGUUCCUGACACUGAGGCACGAAGGCCAGGGGAGCAAACGGG